rnacentral:tRNA from 1 species
UCGCCCUUGGUGCAAUGGUAGCAUCCCAGAUUCUGACUCUGGUGAUCGAGGUUCGAGUCCUUGAGGGCGAGCCA